GGGGGGCUGGGAAAGUUGAGGCCGCGCUGCCGCCGGGUCUCCGGCCUUGAGGGCUCGGGCUCGCAGCGGCGGCGGUGGCCGUAAAAAGAGGCGGCGGGGGCGGGGGGAGAGGAGGGCCUGGGCCCGCGCUCCCCCAGCCCCGGAGGAGCAGGCGGCGGCCGCGGACGGAGAGAUUCGUCCAGACGGUCAGACACUCCUGCCUUCCCCUCCUGGGAUCAUGACCCAGGCGGGGGUCUUCGCCGUCCCCGCCGCCACCGCGGCCGAGACCGCGCAGCCGGCGGUAAGAAGAAAGCAUAACCCAUAGACCAUCUUCUGGCAGAAGAUGAUACAUUUGGAUCAGAAACGGGAGGCAUUGGAAGCCAGGAAUCAAAAGUGAAGAAACUCUGCAAGCCCUUAGGUUCCUAUUACUGUAACCAUGCCAGAAAUGACAGAGAAUGAGACGCCUACAAAAAAGCAGCACAGAAAGAAAAACCGGGAGACACACAAUGCAGUGGAGAGGCAUAGAAAGAAGAAAAUCAAUGCUGGGAUAAACAGAAUAGGAGAGCUGAUCCCAUGUUCUCCUGCCCUGAAGCAGGUAAGAAGUCUACUUAUAUCCUCAUUCAAUGCAUAUUAACAGACAAUUCCCUAAGUUGUUUUGGUGCUUUGAAUGAUUAUUUUUGUUCCUUUCUGUUUCUAUGUAUGGUUCUUUUGAAGUUAAUAAUUGCCUUGUUUUAAUUCUUCCCAUGCUUCCAACAGUCUUUUAGUACAGUUUCUUCAUGGUCAAAUGUACCAUAUAAUUUCUAGACUCUUCAGUUUUCUCUUGAUUACUGAGUUAAUCACAUGACUGUGCUUACGUAUAUGCAACUCUAUUUGCCAGGCAUUUUUUCAUUUUGUUUUCCUGCCAAUGCAUGUUCCUACUCCUUUUAAAUUCUUACUUAGAAUCUUCUAAGGAUCUUUUAAAAAAUCUAUUCUCCAUGCCCUCUUAACCCCCAGUAGUAUUUAAAAUCUCAGCUUAAAGUAUGACAGUGUCCUCUAAUGAAGGUGCCUUUUUGUUCCUUCUAAUGAUGAGGAUAACGCAUGCUCCACUGAAAGCAAAACAAAACAAAAAAUUGAAACAAUAUGAAAGGCAUGAGAGGGUUUAAAAAAUAAAUUGAUAUCUUACUCCCAAGCAAUAAUCACUAUUAUAAUGUUGUAAUUAAAUGAAAAUAUGGAAAAACUUAAUAAGACACAUAGCAAAUGGCACUAAAAAGCUUAAAACAACAAACAUUAAUCUCCUACCUGCUUCCUAACCCCAACACAGCUCCUCAGAAGCAAAUAGUCUCAACCAUUUCUUCUGCUUUUUUCUCCCUGUUAUAUUUCUAAAUAACAUACUUUUGUUGCUGUACCUGAAUUUUUCAAUUUUAGAUAUUAUCUAUUGACUCGUUGUUAUGUUUUUCCUCUGACUUCUUCUUCUUCAGUCCUCCCAUUAUAUUUCUAUGACUUUUGGUUAAAUCGGUAUUCAGUUUUUAUGUUUUUAAGAGAGUAAAUGUUAUUCAUGGUUGUGCCAAGGAGUGUACUAUUAUUAUAUUUCGUUUGUUGCUUUUGUCUUUGGGGGGAGUAAAUAAUUUCUUCAUAGUUUUCCAUUUGCUUAAUUUUUCAUAUACUUAUCUUUAAUCCUUCUGACACUUCCAACCAUCUCUUAGUAGAGUUUUCUUCAAGGUCGAGUGUACUACAUAGUUUUCAUUUGCCAUUUUCUUUCUUCAAGACUUUACUUCUGGAACCCUCUGUUCUCCUUUUUCAUUCUCAACCAGUUGGCCUCUUCCAGCUCUUCUGUUUUUAAUUGCAGCUCUUAUAUUUUUAAUUUCCAAGAGUCUUUUUUCUUAUUCUCUGUUCCUUUUCCUACAAUAUGUUUGUGGAUACAAUAUCUUCUCACCUCUGAAUAGUAUAUGCAGGUGUUUUCCUGAAGUUUUUUUCAGUUUAUGUUUAUUUCCUCUGAUUUCCUUUUUUCCCCUUUUUGUCUUUUCUUUUUUUAGGAAGGUUUUCUUUAAAUGUUUGGUGACUUGAAGCUGUUUUUUUCUUUCUUGGGAAUGAGGUAUUAAAAAGCUGAUUGAAUAGAUUUAUCUUUUGGUGGCCCUAAGUGUUGCAUGAUUAGAAGCUAUGCUAGUUUUGUUGUUCUUGUUGUGGAACUAAAACAUAUCAGUAUUUGUAGUUUUUUUCUUUUGUGGGAUAGCUAUUAAGUUUUUUAUUUUCUCAGAGAAGAACCCAUCAGUCUCCUGCCUGGGAGUGGAACUGGUAGCAAGAGGAGUAUAAGCCUGGUUGCUAUUAUUCUGGGCGCUGGAUGGGGGUUGGGGGGCUAGAGCGUCUUGUGCUGUAGUAGGCAGAGUUUUACUCUACCCCCGUUUCACUUAGGACCCUCGUCUUGUCCACUUUUGUGCCAAGUAUCCCUGAGGUUGAAAUUCUCUGGUUCAAAUUUCACAGAAAAUAAACUUGUCUCUUGCGGUUUGGGCAGGAAGGGAAAGUCAUCCAGCUGUGUAGAAUAUGCGCGUGGGGGCAGGGUAGGGGGUGGUUCUUACUACUGCUUUAUUAGGAGUCUUUCAGCCAGUUCCCCUCUAUUUUAACCCCCAGCUCACCCCACCUUCUGUAGAGGCUGGUGGUUCUCAGUGUUGAGCCUUCCCAGGAUGUCAAAGGAGCAAAUCAGCUUGCUUCUCUAUGUUAUCUCCCUUGGAAAGGACUUACUCUUCAUUUCCUUUCAUUCUGCCCUGUAGGAUGGACUUAGACUUUCCAUAUAUGGUUUUUUAAAUUUUUUAAUUUUUAUUUAUUUUUUUUAGAUGGAGUCUCAUUCUAUCGCCUAGGCUGGAAUUCAGUGGCAUGAUCU